rnacentral:rRNA from 1 species
AUUGAACGCUAGCGGGAUGCUUUACACAUGCAAGUCGAACGAGCGGCGGACGGGUGAGUAAUAUAUGGGAACGUGCCCAGUGGCGGGGGUUAACUACUCGAAAGAGUGGCUAAUACCGCAUCCUAUCGGAUCUGCCGAUAUCGGAUUAGCUAGUAGGUGGGGUAAAGGCUCACCAAGGCAACGAUCCCUAGCUGGUUUGAGAGGACGACCAGCCACACUGGGACUGAGACACGGCCCAGACUCCUACGGGAGGCAGCAGUGGGGAAUUUUGGACAAUGGGGGAAACCCUGAUCCAGCCAUGCCGCGUGUAUGAGAAGGCCUUCGGGUUGUAAAGUACUUUUGGCAGGGAAGCGGUAUUUGCAGAAUAAGCACCGGCUAACUACGUGCCAGCAGCCGCGGUAAUAC